rnacentral:tRNA from 1 species
AGCUCAGUUGGAAAAGCAAAAGAAUGAAAA